CCUACGGGUGGCAGCAGUGAGGAAUAUUGGUCAAUGGAGGAGAGUCUGAACCAGCCAAGUAGCGUGAAGGAUGACUGCCCUAUGGGUUGUAAACUUCUUUUAUAUGGGAAUAAAAUGUUCCACGUGUGGGAUUUUGUAUGUACCAUAUGAAUAAGGAUCGGCUAACUCCGUGCCAGCAGCCGCGGUAAUACGGAGGAUCCGAGCGUUAUCCGGAUUUAUUGGGUUUUAAGGGAGCGUAGGUGGAUUGUUAAGUCAGUUGUGAAAGUUUGCGGCUCAACCGUAAAAUUGCAGUUGAAACUGGCAGUCUUGAGUACAGUAGAGGUGAGCGGAAUUCGGGGUGUAGCGGUGAAAUGCUUAGAUAUCACGAAGAACUCCGAUUGCGAAGGCAGUUCACUGGACUGCAACUGACACUGAGGCGCGAAAGUGUGGGUAUCAAACAGGAUUAGAUACCCGGGUAGUC
rnacentral:rRNA from 1 species